rnacentral:lncRNA from 1 species
ACAGCCAGCCGGGACUGUCCUUGUCCUCAUCGCAUGGCUCGUCUCUGCCCGCCUCCUCAUCCCCAUUCAGGGCUCUGGGUCACAGCAGGUCCAGUGGCAGGGACCAGCUUCCCCUCUCUGAGGCCGGCGGCCACGUGGCCUCGCACACUCGCAGCUCCUGGGGGUCAGACGGCUGCAGGGUCAUCCUCUGCGACUCUGAGGGCCAGGCGCGUACUCCAAAGCUCUUAGAGAAUGGACGCUGCGCCCGGCAGUUUUCGGACGCCAGUGGUCGUCUCUCCGGGCACAGUUAAUCCAGCUGCUCUCCUGUUUGCUGCCGCCUGCCAGCCUGGGACCUACAUCAGCAGCGAGGCUCACGGACUCUAAAGCUUCGCCCGUCCGGUACCUCCCCUCCUGCUCCGGCCACGUCUCGGACGCACAGGUUUCUUCGGACCCCAGCACCUCAGGGCCCCCCGCCUGCCUCCCGAUUUCAAAACACCGCACGCCAGCUCCUCCUGGGCCUCACAGGUCAGUGUGCUGCUCUUACCGGUGUCCGCGUCGCGUCCCUGGGCUCACUGCCGUCACCCUGGUGAGCAUGGACGCCCCGCACCUGCAGGCUGGCUCACAGGCUCGGGGUGGUCCGUGCUCAGCAUUUGGGGCAGAUCUGUGGAAGGAAUUCUCUCUUGGCCCCUGUUGCUGCAUUCCCCUUUUUGCCUUUGGGCCAAGCAGCCUGCCCUACCCCCUCCCGGAGUGGGAAUCCCCUGAGAUGUACCCAUAGUGCCUUGCUGCCAGCUCCACCCCCACGACCUGUCUCACCGUGAGACAGGAGCCAGCCUGCCCUCUGCAGGGGGUGGCCACUGCCCUCAGGCCUGUGCACCUGCCCCUCUGCUCGCCAGGGGCACCAGCGCUCAGCGGGGCCGGUGGGUGUCCCGCACCGACAGGGGUGGGAGGAAGGGGAGCUCGGGCUGCUGCGCCCUCCACUCACAGCGCGGCGGAGCCCACGCACUGUGGGUGUUCCCUGCCUGCCGCAGGCGUGCGCUUUGCCGCUAGGGGUGCGUGCUGAAUCCGCGCGGAACUGAAUCCGCCCAAAGCCUGCUUCCUCCCACGGCACGGACAGCCCUCUGCCCAGCACCUGAGUCCAUCAAGAGGCGUCCGUGGUCUCCGUGGCUUUGAAGGCUCCUUGUGGGCUGUGAGCGAGCGCUGCACGAGCGCAUUACACAUUCAGACUUGUCCUCCGCUUUCAAGUGUCCCAGCGGGAACCGCACGCGCAGCAACCUGAGGGUAAAGGCUUCCCGCCUUCGGGGCGGCCCCUCCCACAGCAUUUUCCCAGCCCGGGCUUGAAAAGUGGAAGGCGGAGGAGCCGGGAAACCACCUGGGUGAGGCUCACACGGCCUGUCGUCGGUGCGAGGGCGGUGGUGACGGCUCCGCUGCCGCGUGAUUUCGCAUAAUCAGCAGCUCACGUCCUCGCUGCACCGCUGUGCCCAGAACAGCGAGCGACUCCCCCGACAGGAAGCAGGAUGGGCGGGCAGGGGCGGGCCGGGGGUGGGCGUCUGGGGACAGAGCAGGGGGCGCUGGCGGCUGCACACAAGGCAGCGCCUCCAAUGCGGUUAACACCACUACGCCGUGCGCUGCACAAGCACAUGAGGCGACAUGCUUAUGUCACGGCUGCCUUACCACAAUGAGAAAAAAUAAACCCUUUGUUUUGUCGACGCGUUGCA